rnacentral:rRNA from 1 species
CAGACUCCUACGGGAGGCAGCAGUGGGGAAUAUUGGACAAUGGGCGCAAGCCUGAUCCAGCAAUACCGCGUGAGUGAUGACGGCCCUCGGGUUGUAAAGCUCUUUUAGUAGGGAAGAUAAUGACGGUACCUACAGAAAAAGCACCGGCUAACUUCGUGCCAGCAGCCGCGGUAAUACGAAGGGUGCUAGCGUUGUUCGGAAUCAUUGGGCGUAAAGGGUGCGUAGGCGGUUUGGUAAGUCAGUUGUGAAAGCCCAGGGCUCAACCCUGGAACUGCAAUUGAAACUGCCCGACUAGAAUUUGGUGGGGGAUAAUAGAAUUCCUAGUGUAGGGGUGAAAUCCGUAGAUAUUAGGAGGAAUACCAGAGGCGAAGGCGAUUGUCUAUACCAAUAUUGACGCUGAGGCACGAAAGCGUGGGGAGCAAACAGGAUUAGAUACCCUGGUAGUCCACGCAGUAAACGAUGAGCGCUAAUUAUCGGGAUCUUGGGUCUCGGUGGUGUAGCUAACGCGUUAAGCGCUCCGCCUGGGGACUACGGUCGCAAGACUAAAACUCAAAGAAAUUGACGGGGACCCGCACAAGCAGUGGAUCAUGUGGUUUAAUUCGAUGCUACGCGAAAAACCUUACCAGCUCUUGAAUCCCAUUGACCGGUAAAGAGAUUUACCUUUGGCGCAAGCCACAGUGGUGACAGGUGUUGCAUGGCUGUCGUCAGCUCGUGUCGUGAGAUGUUAGGUUAAGUCCUUCAACGAGCGCAACCCUCAUCCUUAUUUGCCAUCGGUUCGGCCGGGAACUAUAAGGAAACUGCCAGCGAUAAGCUGGAGGAAGGUGGGGAUGAUGUCAAGUCAUCAUGGCCCUUAUGGGCUGGGCUACACACAUGAUACAAUGGUGGUUACAACGGGACGCAAUGCAGCAAUGCGGAGCCAAUCCUUCAAAGGCCAUCUCAGUUCGGAUUGGGGGCUGCAACUCGCCCCCAUGAAGUUGGAAUUGCUAGUAAUCGCAGAUCAGCACGCUGCGGUGAAUACGUUCUCGGGUCUUGUACACACUGCCCGU